rnacentral:rRNA from 1 species
AACGAACGCUGGCGGCAGGCUUAACACAUGCAAGUCGAACGGGUGUAGCAAUACAUCAGUGGCAGACGGGUGAGUAACACGUGGGAACCUUCCUAGGGGUACGGAACAACUCAGGGAAACUUGAGCUAAUACCGUAUACGUCCGUGAGGAGAAAGAUUUAUCGCCCUUAGACGGGCCCGCGUCGGAUUAGGUAGUUGGUGGGGUAACGGCCUACCAAGCCUACGAUCCGUAGCUGAUCUGAGAGGAUGAUCAGCCACACUGGGACUGAGACACGGCCCAGACUCCUACGGGAGGCAGCAGUGGGGAAUCUUGGACAAUGGGCGCAAGCCUGAUCCAGCCAUGCCGCGUGAGUGAAGAAGGCCUUAGGGUUGUAAAGCUCUUUUACCAGGGACGAUAAUGACGGUACCUGGAGAAUAAGCCCCGGCAAACUUCGUGCC